GUCGCGGUAGCCCAACGGCAGAGGCAGCUGUCUCAAACGCAGCUCAGUGCGGGUUCGAGUCCCGCUCGCGACA
rnacentral:tRNA from 1 species